rnacentral:rRNA from 1 species
UUGAAGAGUUUGAUCAUGGCUCAGAUUGAACGCUGGCGGCAGGCCUAACACAUGCAAGUCGAGCGGUAGCACAGAGAGCUUGCUCUCGGGUGACGAGCGGCGGACGGGUGAGUAAUGUCUGGGAAACUGCCUGAUGGAGGGGGAUAACUACUGGAAACGGUAGCUAAUACCGCAUAAUGUCGCAAGACCAAAGUGGGGGACCUUCGGGCCUCAUGCCAUCAGAUGUGCCCAGAUGGGAUUAGCUUGUAGGUGGGGUAACGGCUCACCUAGGCGACGAUCCCUAGCUGGUCUGAGAGGAUGACCAGCCACACUGGAACUGAGACACGGUCCAGACUCCUACGGGAGGCAGCAGUGGGGAAUAUUGCACAAUGGGCGCAAGCCUGAUGCAGCCAUGCCGCGUGUGUGAAGAAGGCCUUCGGGUUGUAAAGCACUUUCAGCGGGGAGGAAGGCGGUGAGGUUAAUAACCUCAUCGAUUGACGUUACCCGCAGAAGAAGCACCGGCUAACUCCGUGCCAGCAGCCGCGGUAAUACGGAGGGUGCAAGCGUUAAUCGGAAUUACUGGGCGUAAAGCGCACGCAGGCGGUCUGUCAAGUCGGAUGUGAAAUCCCCGGGCUCAACCUGGGAACUGCAUUCGAAACUGGCAGGCUAGAGUCUUGUAGAGGGGGGUAGAAUUCCAGGUGUAGCGGUGAAAUGCGUAGAGAUCUGGAGGAAUACCGGUGGCGAAGGCGGCCCCCUGGACAAAGACUGACGCUCAGGUGCGAAAGCGUGGGGAGCAAACAGGAUUAGAUACCCUGGUAGUCCACGCCGUAAACGAUGUCGAUUUGGAGGUUGUGCCCUUGAGGCGUGGCUUCCGGAGCUAACGCGUUAAAUCGACCGCCUGGGGAGUACGGCCGCAAGGUUAAAACUCAAAUGAAUUGACGGGGGCCCGCACAAGCGGUGGAGCAUGUGGUUUAAUUCGAUGCAACGCGAAGAACCUUACCUGGUCUUGACAUCCACAGAACUUAGCAGAGAUGCUUUGGUGCCUUCGGGAACUGUGAGACAGGUGCUGCAUGGCUGUCGUCAGCUCGUGUUGUGAAAUGUUGGGUUAAGUCCCGCAACGAGCGCAACCCUUAUCCUUUGUUGCCAGCGGUCCGGCCGGGAACUCAAAGGAGACUGCCAGUGAUAAACUGGAGGAAGGUGGGGAUGACGUCAAGUCAUCAUGGCCCUUACGACCGGGCUACACACGUGCUACAAUGGCAUAUACAAAGAGAAGCGACCUCGCGAGAGCAAGCGGACCUCAUAAAGUAUGUCGUAGUCCGGAUUGGGAGUCUGCAACUCGACUCCAUGAAGUCGGAAUCGCUAGUAAUCGUAGAUCAGAAUGCUACGGUGAAUACGUUCCCGGGCCUUGUACACACCGCCCGUCACACCAUGGGAGUGGGUUGCAAAAGAAGUAGGUAGCUUAACCUUCGGGAGGGCGCUUACCACUUUGUGAUUCAUGACUGGGGUGAAGUCGUAACAAGGUAACCGUAGGGGAACCUGCGGUUGGAUCACCUCCUU